rnacentral:rRNA from 1 species
GUACUGUGCAAACGUUAUUCGGAAUCACUGGGCUUAAAGGGUGCGUAGGCGGCUAACUAAGUAGGGUGUGAAAUACCUCGACUCAACCGAGGAACUGCGCUCUAAACUGGUUGGCUUGAGUGAGAUAGGGGUGUGUGGAACUUCCAGUGGAGCGGUGAAAUGUGUUGAUAUUGGAAGGAACGCCGGUGGCGAAAGCGGCACACUGGGUCUCAACUGACGCUGAGGCACGAAAGCCAGGGUAGCGAACGGGGAUUAGAUACCCCGGUAGUCCUGGCUGUAAACGAUGAGCACUAGACGGGAGGGCUUCGGCCCAUUCGGUCGCAGCGAAAGCAUUAAGUGCUCCGCCUGGGGAGUAUGGUCGCAAGGCUG